UACGUAGGUGGCAAGCGUUAUCCGGAAUUAUUGGGCGUAAAGAGCGCGCAGGUGGUUGAUUAAGUCUGAUGUGAAAGCCCACGGCUUAACCGUGGAGGGUCAUUGGAAACUGGUCGACUUGAGUGCAGAAGAGGGAAGUGGAAUUCCAUGUGUAGCGGUGAAAUGCGUAGAGACAUGGAGGAACACCAGUGGCGAAGGCGGCUUCCUGGUCUGUAACUGACACUGAGGCGCGAAAGCGUGGGGAGCAAACAGGAUUAGAUACCCCU
rnacentral:rRNA from 1 species